rnacentral:lncRNA from 1 species
GCUCUUUCUCGUGUGGAACUCAUCGGCGAUGAGUAGAACGAAGACAUGUGAAAGGGAAGAAGAAUCCUGGAAAAGGGAGAUUUGGGACACUUCAAAAUGCAUAGUGAGUUAGCAAGCAACAUAAUCCAGGGAUGUCAUCAUAUGUGAGUCACAUGAGAACCAGCUGAGGGACAAGGCCAGGAGAGGCUGCAGAGCACAGAGGCACAUCUGCUGUAAAGCUAAUUUUACAUUCUGGCUCUGCCUCUUAGAAGUGUGGGACUUUGGACAAACUACUCAACUCUGUACAUAUGUCUCCUCCACUGUAAGAUGAGAGUGAUGGUUGUCUUGAUGUUUUCAUAAGAAAAUAAGAGAUUAAUGAAGAAAGUCAAUAGAUGACAUAUGAAUGCUAGCUCAUCAUACUUGAAAUAAAUAAAAACAAAGUUGAGAGCAAACUUAAAAAAAAAAAAAACACUCUCAGUAGCUUCUAACCACUAGUGCUUCUUCAUUUUCCCUUCUAGGGUGAUCAUCUUCAAGGGAAAGUAGAGAAAGCAGUUAAUGGAAAGGAAUCCCAAGAAGAGGAAGUGGAGUGUUCCUGCAUAGCAGGAAAAUAAAAAGCAAUAGCAUGUCCAUUGAUGUCUUUUGAACUGCUCUGUUAGUGAGAAGACUUGAAAAAAGCCUUCAACACAGGGCUGAGAUGGUGCCAAUGUAAGCCUGACUUAGAGGGAAAGCAGGGGCACUUUCUUUAUUCAGCAAUUGUUUACUGUCCUUCCAUUGUAUAGCAGGUCCUGCUGUAGGUGGCACAGCUACUGUCAAUAUAACUACAAGCAAGAGAGUCCUGUCUCUGUGCAGUUACUUCUAGAAAAGCAGAUGCAGCACAUCUUUCAUAUACCAAGUCUUCCGGGGGCCCCAGGCAUAACUUCCACCCACGGAUUCAACCUGGUCAUCACAGCAAUCUGUCUUCUGAAUCAAGACUGAAAUCACAAGAGAGUGCACAUUUGCCCAAUAUUCCAGGUAUGUGAGUGAUGACCUGUCCAUAGGAAAAGCAACUGCACAUCCUUGGAGUGAUUAACAAAAAUC